AAGUGAGGGACUACAACUCUUUCUGUGCACGUUAGGUUUUCAGGAUUCUUGGAGUUUUUCACUUCCUGAGGAGUAGAUUUGCAAGAUUGUGUGGUCUCCGGCAUGGAAAAUUACUGAGUCACCUCGUCUUAUCUACAGUCUUGGAUCCAUUAGGAAUCUGUUUUAUUUUGACAACUUGGCACAUCUUUUUUCUCUGGACCCAGAACAGUUAUGUCCAGGGUCGCCCAAGAAUUGAAUAGACAUUCCC
rnacentral:lncRNA from 1 species